GAAAUCUUAUUUAAUAAAUAAUCAUAUAUAAGCUUGUUAAGUUCUACCAUAAGCUAGCAACACAUGUGUGAAAGUGAAGCUGUUGUUUACUUUACCAAAUCUACUUCACUGUCGUUCCAUCUACGUGGUAGUACUAUCACAGAUCUGGCAUCAAUUUGGUAAAUAUUUAUUGUCAUUUUCAACAGAGAAAGAACAACGUAUAUCUACAUUAACGAUCACAGGAUCUGCCAAGGUUCUACUAGUCCAAAAGUAUCUAGAACGGAUUGAAAUUAGAAUCCCAAAUUGGUCUAACAUAAUAGUUCAUUGUGUGUACACAAAAGAAAAAUUAUGACGGAAUCUGAGUUUAGUUGUUUUAAGUGUGUAGGUGAUUUGUGCCAAAAAGCAGUAAAGAAUUUGCCAACCUGCAACACUACAAUUAAUUGCUAUAAAUAUGCCAUUCGAAGAUCCGACGCAACCAUUAAUUAUAAUCGUGGAUGCAUCCCUACAACAGAGGUAUUCCAAGAUAUUUGUAAUGUAACAUUCCUGCAUAAAGACGAUUAUAGUUAUGAAUGCUGUAAAGGGGAUUUUUGCAAUGGCGGCCAUUUGCCUAUCCUACCUGAUAUUAAUACGGGUCGACAUUGGUAUUUUUACUAUGUUAUAGUUGCAAUAAUCUGUGGAUCUUUUGUUGUACUCAUCACUACUCUUAUCAAAAUACACCAAUAUGAGAUGCGCGCCAACAGAACACAGCGGGAAGGAGAAGAAGGAGAAGGACGACAAGAAAGAAGAGGAGAAGGAGGACAAGAAAGAGAAGAAGAAUUGGUAGAGAUGUUAGAAAUGAAUGGAUUGCCACGUGGGCGUAUCGGCAUCGUCAGAAGUAUUGGAUCGUAACUUUGACGAUCCGAAAUGACUCCAGCCAAUGAUAGCAUCGUUCAGUUAAUUACACAAAGUCUUUUAUUAAUGAAACGCCAAAUCAAACAAAGUUUGGAGUAAAGAACUUUUUCAAAUCAAAUAUUAUUUAUCAUUCGUCAGUUUUAUCAAAUCGAUGAACCAAUUAUAUGGUUUCAACUUGCACAUUUGGAAUUUAUAGACUUAUUGACAAUCCGAUAUCUAUAGCUUAAACUAUAUUAUAGGAGAUAUGACUCCGAGUAGCUAGCUAUUGACGAACAAGAGCCAACAACCGAGGAGAGGUCCUAAUUAAAUGCUGAUAAUCAAACUAAUAACUCCAAAAUUUCCGAUGACAAUUGGCAUACAGAUCUGAUAACGAAUUUCUUGGGUUCUCUGAUUCAAACCUCUUGACAAACAAACGCAUCAGCGCGUUGGCCGAUUUGACAAGUUAUGGAGACGCUUUCAAUAUCUUCAAAUAAUUAAUUAUUUAUACUACUUGGACGAUGAUAUUAUUGGAAAAAUAUUCUUACGAAAAAUAUUUUUAAUUAAAAACGAUUCUUUAAAGACGUAUUUCUUUUGUUUUCAAUUUUUUUUCUAUAAA